rnacentral:rRNA from 1 species
GACGAAGGGGGCUAGCGUUGUUCGGAAUUACUGGGCGUAAAGCGCGUGUAGGCGGUUGUCCAAGUCGGAUGUGAAAGCCCUGGGCUCAACCCAGGAAGUGCAUUCGAAACUCCCGAGCUGGAGUCCCGGAGAGGAAGGCGGAAUUCUCGGUGUAGAGGUGAAAUUCGUAGAUAUCGAGAGGAACAUCGGUGGCGAAGGCGGCCUUCUGGACGGUGACUGACGCUGAGACGCGAAGGCGUGGGGAGCAAACAGG